rnacentral:rRNA from 1 species
GAUGAACGCUGGCGGCGUGCCUAAUACAUGCAAGUCGAGCGAACAGACGAGGAGCUUGCUCCUCUGACGUUAGCGGCGGACGGGUGAGUAACACGUGGAUAACCUACCUAUAAGACUGGGAUAACUUCGGGAAACCGGAGCUAAUACCGGAUAAUAUAUUGAACCGCAUGGUUCAAUAGUGAAAGACGGUUUUGCUGUCACUUAUAGAUGGAUCCGCUCCGCAUUAGCUAGUUGGUAAGGUAACGGCUUACCAAGGCAACGAUGCGUAGCCGACCUGAGAGGGUGAUCGGCCACACUGGAACUGAGACACGGUCCAGACUCCUACGGGAGGCAGCAGUAGGGAAUCUUCCGCAAUGGGCGAAAGCCUGACGGAGCAACGCCGCGUGAGUGAUGAAGGUCUUCGGAUCGUAAAACUCUGUUAUUAGGGAAGAACAAAUGUGUAAGUAACUAUGCACGUCUUGACGGUACCUAAUCAGAAAGCCACGGCUAACUACGU